UCUAACGUGGCAGAUAAGUGCGGUGGAUUUAAGCUCCACAAAUAAAGUUUCAAAGCUUUCAUUAGAA
rnacentral:tRNA from 1 species